rnacentral:misc_RNA from 1 species
GUUUGCCGUCUAGAUAGGUAAGUAUUUUCUUAUCAUGUAAUAGCUGUUACUCUCUUUCAAAAUUACUUGUACUACAUAUUUCUUGUUUCUCAAAUUAGAGGCUUUGGAAUGGAUAUUGUGUCUUUCCUUCUAGCCAAGGACUGUAAUUUCCAUGUUUUGAUUGAUCUUGAGUUUCCACUUUUCUCAAUAUGAUAUUUGAUAUAUAUUUCUUUUUGACAUGAUUACUUGAUAUUUUAAUUUAUUGAAAAUUUAUUGCUGGUACUCUAUGAAAUUCUUGUGAUUGUUUCCAAUGAUUAGUACCAAAUAUCUUUAGCUGGUAAAAAUCCCAGCACACUGGCUUGGAGCUUGGCAUUAUACAAGGGACAAAAGAAUUAUACCGUUGAACCACUGCAUAUAAUGUGCAAUUAUGGUAAACUCUAUUAUAAGAUAGCUACAAAUAUAGCUAACAAUUGAAAGCUAUAAGGCAUGAAAAAGAA